CAAUAGCGUAUAUUAAAGUUGUUGCAGUUAAAAAGCUCGUAGUUGGAUCUCGGGUCCGGGCUGGCGGUCCCGUUCGCGCGGGUACUGCCUGUUCCCGACCUACCGGCCGGCACGUCCCUUGGUGCUCUUUACUGAGUGCCUCGGGUGGCCGGCGCGUUUACUUUGAAAAAUUAGAGUGUUCAAAGCAGGCCGCCGUGCCUGAAUACUGAUGCAUGGAAUAAUGGAAUAGGACCUCGGACUUCUAUUUUGCUGGUUUCUGGAUCUCGAGGUAAUGAUUAAGAGGGACGGCCGGGGGCGUUAGUAUUACGGUGUUAGAGGUGAAAUUCUUGGAUCGCCGUAAGACUCACGGUUGCGAAAGCGUUCGCCAAGAACGUUUUCAUUGAUCAAGAACGAAAGUCAGAGGUUCGAAGACGAUCAGAUACCAU
rnacentral:rRNA from 1 species